AGCAGCCGCGGUAAUUCCAGCUCCAAUAGCGUAUAUUAAAGUUGUUGCAGUUAAAAAGCUCGUAGUUGAACUUCGGGAUCAAUUAGUUGGUCAUGCCUUGGUAUGUACUGAUUUUAUUGGUUCUCACCUUCUAAAGAACUAUAAUGUCAUUUAUUUGAUGUUGUAGGGAAUUAGGACUGUUACCUUGAAAAAUUAGAGUGUUUAAAGCAGGCUCACGCUUGAAUACAUUAGCAUGGAAUAAUGAAAUAGGACAUCGCAUUCUAUUUUGUUGGUUUCUAGGAUCGAUGUAAUGAUUAAUAGGGAUAGUUGGGGCAUUAGUAUUCAAUUGUCAGAGGUGAAAUUCUUGGAUUUAUUGAAGACUAACUACUGCGAAAGCAUUUGCCAAGGAUGUUUUCAUUAAUCAAGAACGAAAGUUAGGGGAUCGAAGACGAUCAGAUACCGUCGUAGUCUUAACCAUAAACUAUGCCGACUAGGGAUCGGAUGAUGUUAAUUUUUAAUGACUCAUUC
rnacentral:rRNA from 1 species